rnacentral:rRNA from 1 species
GUUUGAUCCUGGCUCAGAGCGAACGUUAGCGGCAGGCUUAACACAUGCAAGUCGAGCGAGAAAGGGGCUUCGGCUCCGAGUAAAGCGGCGGACGGGUGCGUAACACGUGGAUAAUCUGCCUCGUGGCGGGGGACAACAGUCCGAAAGGACUGCUAAUACCGCAUGUCAGGUCGGAAACUCCGGUUUCUGACGAAAAAGAGGGCGCCCGCAAGGGGCUCUCACCACGAGAUGAGUCCGCGUCCCAUCAGCUAGUUGGCGGUGUAAUAGACCACCAAGGCUUAGACGGGUAGCUGGUCUGAGAGGAUGACCAGCCACACUGGGACUGAGACACGGCCCAGACUCCUACGGGAGGCAGCAGUGGGGAAUAUUGGACAAUGGCGAAAGCCUGAUCCAGCCAUGCCGCGUGAGUGAUGAAGGCCUCGGUCGUAA